rnacentral:rRNA from 1 species
UGGCGGACGGGUGAGUAAUGUCUGGGGAACUGCCUGAUGGAGGGGGAUAACUACUGGAAACGGUAGCUAAUACCGCAUAACGUCGCAAGACCAAAGAGGGGGACCUUAGGGCCUCUUGCCAUCGGAUGUGCCCAGAUGGGAUUAGCUAGUAGGUGGGGUAAAGGCUCACCUAGGCGACGAUCCCUAGCUGGUCUGAGAGGAUGACCAGCCACACUGGAACUGAGACACGGUCCAG